UACGGAGGAUGCGAGCGUUAUCCGGACUUAUUGGGUUUAAAGGGUGCGUAGGCGGACGCUUAAGUCAGCGGUAAAAUUGCGGGGCUCAACCUCGUCGAGCCGUUGAAACUGGGUGCCUUGAGUGGGCGAGAAGUACGCGGAAUGCGUGGUGUAGCGGUGAAAUGCAUAGAUAUCACGCAGAACUCCGAUUGCGAAGGCAGCGUACCGGCGCCCAACUGACGCUGAAGCACGAAGGCGUGGGUAUCGAACAGG
rnacentral:rRNA from 1 species